AACCUACAAGGGUUUUGGAAAAUGGAUCCCCUAAUUAGAGAAGUCAAUCAAGCAUCUUGAGAGCCAAGAACAAAAGAUACAAGUCUAGAAACUAAAAAUUUUAACUGUUAAUGAACAAGCUCUAUGGAAAAGGAGAAUGGGAAAUAACACCGGGUAUCAUAAGCUAAAUCAGAAGAUCCAAUAGUAAUCUUGAAGAACAUUCAAAUACAAACCUCACCAUGAAUAGAUCUCAAUUAUAAGGCAAGUGUGUACAAUUACACAACACGAAGCCCAUGUAAAUGUAUCAUAGAUUCAAAUUACAUGCACAUAUCAAAAUUGUAGCUGAUAGAGAAGCCUAAAAAAAUAUCAAAGUGCGGGAUUGUGAGGAAACAAAAGGAUUACCAUAUCUGCGUUCAAUCUUUGAAAUGACGGAAGUGAUUAUUGUCUCAAAUUGAAUCUGACAAGAAAACAAAGUCCGUAACAGUGUUAGGAGCCAUGAGAUUAGAUCGUGAGACGAGAAGAAUGUGCAGUGAGGGCAAGUGAAUGAAGAACUUGAAGAGAGAAUACAGAAAAAAAAAA